rnacentral:tRNA from 1 species
GGCAAUGUGGCUUAGUGGUAGAGUGCUUGCUUAGCAUGCAUGAAGCCCUGGGUUCAAUUCCUCAGUACCA